rnacentral:tRNA from 2 species
GCCCGAAUGGCUCAGUGGUAAAGCGUCUCACUAGUAAUGAGAAGAUCGCUAGUUCGAUUCUGGCUUUGGGCA